UGGGGAUGAUCUGGCUGUGGCCUCUGUCACCCCAUUGAGCAUCAUUGUCAAUCCAGCUGAUCUGGCUGGCUAGGCAGGAUGUCACCUUCACCUCUCA
ensembl:misc_RNA Gm26045 predicted gene, 26045